rnacentral:rRNA from 1 species
GACGAACGCUGGCGGCGUGCUUAACACAUGCAAGUCGAACGGAAAGGCCCUGCUUUUGUGGGGUGCUCGAGUGGCGAACGGGUGAGUAACACGUGAGUAACCUGCCCUUGACUUUGGGAUAACUUCAGGAAACUGGGGCUAAGACCGGAUAGGAUCUCCUGCUGCAUGGUGGGGGUUGGAAAGUUUCGGCGGUUGGGGAUGGACUCGCGGCUUAUCAGCUUGUUGGUGGGGUAGUGGCUUACCAAGGCUUUGACGGGUAGCCGGCCUGAGAGGGUGACCGGCCACAUUGGGACUGAGAUACGGCCCAGACUCCUACGGGAGGCAGCAGUGGGGAAUAUUGCACAAUGGGCGGAAGCCUGAUGCAGCAACGCCGCGUGCGGGAUGACGGCCUUCGGGUUGUAAACCGCUUUCGCCUGUGACGAAGCGUGAGUGACGGUAAUGGGUAAAGAAGCACCGGCUAACUACGUG